AGCAGCCGCGGUAAUUCCAGCUCCAAUAGCGUAUAUUAAAGUUGUUGCAGUUAAAAAGACUCGUAGUUGAAUUUCGGGGUUCGAGCAGGUCGGUCGUGCCAAUGGUAUGCACUGGCCUUGCUGGUUCCUCCCUCUUGAUGAGCCGUAAUGCCAUUAAUUUGGUGUUGCGGGGAAUCAGGACUGUUACUUUGAAAAAAUUAGAGUGUUUAAAGCAGGCAAGCGCUUGAAUACAUUAGCAUGGAAUAAUGAAAUAGGACGUUUGAUCCUAUUUUGUUGGUUUCUAGGAUUGACGUAAUGAUUAAUAGGGAUAGUUGGGGGCAUUAGUAUUCAAUUGUCAGAGGUGAAAUUCUUGGAUUUAUUGAAGACUAACUACUGCGAAAGCAUUUGCCAAGGAUGUUUUCAUUAAUCAAGAACGAAAGUUAGGGGAUCGAAGACGAUCAGAUACCGUCGUAGUCUUAACCAUAAACUAUGCCGACUAGGGAUCGGAUGAUGUUAAUUUUUAAUUGACUCAUUC
rnacentral:rRNA from 1 species